AAAUUACCAAAGCCUUCCGGGUCAGGCUGUGGAAGUCAGUCAGGCUCCGGAAGCCAAGUUCCGGAAGUCAGUAAGGCCUCGGAAGUCAAGUCCUGGAAGUUGGGCUUGCAAUCAUUAGGUGGAGAUAUUGUUUGUUCUGUGCUCAGAAUUCCCUGGAGUGAGACUCAGGACAAUAUUAAAUCCAAUGAAUCACGCAGCUUUCAGGAGGGCAGGGCAGCACGCUGCAGAGCAGCACUGAAUGAUGGCUUGGCCUGGCGUCCCUGGUGGCAGCAGUGGCCGCACCAGGCACCGUGUUCUCAUUCAACAAAGACUCAGUUUUGAUGUGAGGACUGUGAACAUCUCCAGAACAGGAGACAUUUGGAAGAGCUUGUGCCCACUGGUAUCUGAAACUUGGCUGCUCAUACUCAGGCUAAGGAGCAGAGAUCUGGGAGAACAGGCCCUUUUCAUGGAAGAUGAGAAGUACAAGGGGAAGAACCAAAGCACACAAUUGCUUUUAAAGCUUCUGCUCAGAUGUGCUGCACAUCACACUCCUCACGCUGUUGUGGGCAAAGCAAGCCACAGGCCAAGCCUGGUAGUGGAUCAGCUCCCUCAAGUCUCAUGGCGAUGGGCGAGUGUAUCUGCUGUUA
rnacentral:lncRNA from 1 species